GCGGGCAUCGUAUAAUGGCUAUUACCUCAGCCUUCCAAACUGAUGAUGCGGGUUCGAUUCCCGCUGCCCGCUCCA
rnacentral:tRNA from 3 species